GACGGAGGAUGCGAGCGUUAUCCGGAAUUAUUGGGCGUAAAGCGUCCGCAGGCGGUUUUACAAGUCUGUCGUUAAAGAGUGCAGCUCAACUCCGUUUCAGCGGUGGAAACUGUAAAACUCGAGUGUGGUAGGGGCAGAGGGAAUUCCCGGUGUAGCGGUGAAAUGCGUAGAUAUCGGGAAGAACACCAGUGGCGAAGGCGCUCUGCUGGGCCAUAACUGACGCUCAUGGACGAAAGCCAGGGG
rnacentral:rRNA from 1 species